rnacentral:rRNA from 1 species
CCUACGAGUGGCAGCAGUGGGGAAUAUUGGGCAAUGGGCGCAAGCCUGACCCAGCAACGCCGCGUGAAGGAAGAAGGCCCUCGGGUUGUAAACUUCUUUUAUCAGGGACGAAGCAAGUGACGGUACCUGAUGAAUAAGCCACGGUUAACUACGGACCAGCAGCCGCGGUAAUACGUAGGUGGCAAGCGUUAGCCGGAGUUACUGGGUGUAAAGGGCGUGUAGGCGGGAAGGCAAGUGAGAUGUGAAAACCAGGGGCUCAACCUGUGGCCUGCAUUUGAGACUGUUUUUCUUGAGUACUGGAGAGGGAGACGGAAUUCCUGGUGUAGCGGUGAAAUGCGUAGAGAUUAGGAGGAACACCAGUGGCGAAGGCGGUCUGCUGGACGGCGACUGACGCUGAGGCGCGAAAGCGUGGGGAGCAAACAGGAUUAGAUACCCUGGUAGUC